rnacentral:lncRNA from 1 species
AACAAGCUGGAGUUAUUGAUGCUGAACUUACCAUAGUAAUUUCAAGUAUUUCAAUGGCUUGUAAACAGAUUGCUUCUUUGGUCCAAAGAGCUGGAAUUUCUAACCUUACUGGAGUUCAAGGUGCUGUCAAUAUUCAAGGAGAAGAUCAGAAGAAACUUGAUGUUGUCUCUAAUGAGGUUUGUUUGUUACAAUUCUUCUUAUAAAUAGCUCAAUAGAAACAUUAGUACUCUGUCCCUUAUCAUGUGAAGUUAUUUAGAUGAGUUUAACUUCUAUAUACUGACGAUCCGAGCACUUAAAAUAUAACUAGUAAUCUGAAAAUAUACUCAUAUAGGUCGUUUGGUAGAAUGUAUAAGAAUAGUAUUGAAUAAGGUGUAUUAGUAAUGCUGGUAAUAGUUAUUUUUUUUAUCCACUGUUUGGUUUGGUGUAUUAAGGGUAGUUUUGUCUAGAGCCAUACUUAUACAUGUAUUAAUAGCUCUUGUAUUGCUAAUAUCGUGGUUUACUAUGUAUUAGUUAUACACCCUAUAAUACUGAAUAGGUUACUCAUACAUAAGUUGAAAAACCUACCAAGCAAAGGAUUAAAUAACACUAAAGUUAAUACAUGUGUUAUUUUCUCUAAUACAUCCUAUCAAAUGACGAAUUGUGUUCACUGUCAGUGUAUAUAAGUUAACUCCGAUUGGAUUUAAGUUACAUACAUUGAUGGUGUGAAGAAUUUUUACACUACCUGUUAUGGAAGGUCCUUAUUCUUUUUCCUUUUUUUUAAGGUUACCAUAUCAGGCUUACUGUGAAGAGUUAGUUUAAUCUGCUUGUGUAAAAUAUCUAUGGAAUGUCAAUGUGCAUAAUGUAGACAUUCGUAGAACAUUAAUACACAAAUGAUCUUGGUUUCUGAAGGUUGAUGUUUGAUGGAUUGAACAGGUUUUCUCGAAUUGUCUAAGAUCAAGUGGAAGGACUGGGAUUAUAGCAUCAGAAGAAGAGGAUGUACCUGUGGCAGUGGAAGAGAGUUACUCAGGCAACUACAUUGUGGUGUUUGAUCCUCUUGAUGGAUCAUCAAACAUUGAUGCUGCUGUAUCUACCGGUUCUAUCUUUG